rnacentral:rRNA from 1 species
GGAUAAGCUUGGGAAACUGGGUCUAAUACCGGAUAGGACAGCUGUUUAGUGUCAGUUGUGGAAAGUUUUUUCGGUGCAAGAUGAGCUCGCGGCCUAUCAAGCUUGUUGGUGGGGUCAAUGGCCUACCAAGGCGUCGACGGGUAGCCGGCCUGAGAGGGUGUACGGCCACAUUGGGACUGAGAUACGGCCCAGACUCCUACGGGAGGCAGCAGUGGGGAAUAUUGCACAAUGGGCGGAAGCCUGAUGCAGCGACGCCGCGUGGGGGAUGAAGGCCUUCGGGUUGUAAACUCCUUUCGACAGGGACGAAGCGUAAGUGACGGUACCUGUAUAAGAAGCACCGGCUAACUACGUGCCAGCAGCCGCGGUAAUACGUAGGGUGCGAGCGUUUCCGGAAUUACUGGGCGUAUAGAGCUCGUAGGUGUUUUGUCGCUUCGUCUGUGUAAUUCCGGGGCUUAACUCCGGGCGUGCAGGCGAUACGGGCUGACUUGAGUGCUGUAUGGGGAGACUGGAAUUCCUGGUGUAUCUGGUGAUAUGCGCUAGAUAUCAGGUAGGAACUACCGAUGGCGAAGGCUAGGUCUCUGGGCUAGUAACUGACGCUGAGGA